rnacentral:rRNA from 1 species
GUAACGCGUAGUCAACCUACCCUAUGGACGGGAAUAACCUCGGGAAACUGAGUAUAAUGCCCGAUAGAACAUUAUACCUGGAAUGGUUUAUGUUCCAAAUGAUUUAUCGCCGUAGGAUGGGACUGCGGCCUAUCAGUUUGUUGGUGAGGUAAUGGCCCACCAAGACUAUUACAGGUACGGGCUCUGAGAGGAGUGGCCCGGAGAUGGGUACUGAGACACGGACCCAGGCCCUAUGGGGCGCAGCAGGCGAGAAAACUUUGCAAUGUGCGAAAGCACGACAAGGUUAAUCCGAGUGGUUUCUGCUAAAGGAACCUUUUGUCAGUCCUAGAAACACUGAUGAAUAAGGGGUGGGCAAGUUCUGGUGU